GUGUAUAUACAUACAUACAUACAUACAUACAUACAUAAUAAAGUAUAUUUAUGUGUGUGUGUGUAUAUAUAUACAU
rnacentral:miRNA from 1 species